rnacentral:rRNA from 1 species
UACGUAGGGGGCAAGCGUUGUCCGGAAUUAUUGGGCGUAAAGAGCUCGUAGGCGGGUUGGCGCGUCUGCUGUGAAAGUUCGGGGCUCAACUCGGGAACUGCAGUUGGAACUGUCAGACUAGAGUGCGGUAGAGGAGACUGGAAUUCCUGGUGUAGCGGUGGAAUGCGCAGAUAUCAGGAGGAACACCAGUGGCGAAGGCGGGUUUCUGGGCCGCAACUGACGCUGAGGAGCGAAAGCGUGGGGAGCGAACAGG